rnacentral:rRNA from 1 species
UGGGGAAUAUUGGACAAUGGGCGAAAGCCUGAUCCAGCCAUGCCGCGUGUGUGAAGAAGGUCUUCGGAUUGUAAAGCUCUUUAAGUUGGGAGGAAGGGCAGUAAGCGAAUACCUUGCUGUUUUGACGUUACCGACAGAAUAAGCACCGGCUAAAUCUGUGCCAGCAGCCGCGGUAAUACAGAGGGUGCAAGCGUUAAGCGGAAUUACUGGGCGUAAAGCGCGCGUAGGUGGUUCGGUAAGUGGAAUGUGAAAGCCCCGUGCUCAACCUAGGAACUGCAGCCCAAACUGUCGAGCUAGAGCAGGGCAGAGGGUGGUGUAAUUUCCUGUGUGACGGUGAAAUACGUAGAUAUAGGAAUGAACACCAGUGGCGAAGGCGACCACCUGGGCUCAUACUGACACUGAGGUGCGAAAGCGUGGGGAGCUAACAGG